GUCCGUCGCGCGCCGACGUAUGGGCGGCGUGAGGAAAGUCCGGGCAACAAAGAGCGCCAUACCGGUUAAUCUGCCGGCGGUCAGUAAUGGCCGAGCAGCGUGACAGAAAAUAACCGCCGCCCGUAUCCAAGAGGCGGCAAGGGUGAAAAGGUGGGGUAAGAGCCCACCGGGCGUUAUGGUAACAUAGCGUGCCGCACGUCUUAUGGGUUGCAAGGUCAAGUACACCGGCAUUUAAGGGUGGCUCGCCCAUUGCCGGGGGGUAGACUGCUAAAGGCGUCCAGUAAUGGGCGUCGCAGAUAAAUGACGGACGGGUCGCGGUGUCUCCGCUUGCGGACAGUACCGCACCCACAUAACCCGGCUUAUACCCGGCCCC
rnacentral:RNase_P_RNA from 1 species